GUGCUCACUUCAGCCACACAAAUACUAAAAUUGGAGCAAUACAGAGAAGAUUAGCAUGCUCUCCCCACAAGAGGAUGACAUGCAAAUUCAUGAAGGGUUCCAUAAUUUU